rnacentral:tRNA from 1 species
AAGGGAGACCUAAUUCAGGUAGGAGACGAAAAAAAAGUAGUCGCUACCAAGAAUCAAUCCCAAAAGGUCGGAGCGAGGCGAAAUUGGCUUUCAAACUAGGUUCUGGGUUCAAACAAGACCUGAAUCAGGAACAAGGGCUAUUAGCUCAGGUGGUUAGAGCGCACCCCUGAUAAGGGUGAGGUCCCUGGUUCGAGUCCAGGAUGGCCCACCUGCACAGGUGGCAAAAACAAGAGAAGCUCCGAAUCAGCACCUUAUCUUACUUACAUAGUAAGAGAGAAUGCUGGCUCUGAGUAAAGAGUCCAGAGGAACCUUGAAAACUGCAUAGAGCUAGGUGAAAAAGCCAAAAAAGAAGACCGCAA